rnacentral:rRNA from 1 species
UACGUAGGGUGCGAGCGUUAAUCGGAAUUACUGGGCGUAAAGCGUGCGCAGGCGGCGCGUUAAGACAGGUGUGAAAGCCCCGAGCUUAACUUGGGAAUUGCGCUUGUGACUGGCGUGCUGGAGUGUGGCAGAGGGAGGUGGAAUUCCACGUGUAGCAGUGAAAUGCGUAGAGAUGUGGAGGAACAUCAGUUGCGAAGGCGGCUCUCUGGACCAGCACUGACACUGAGGCACGAAAGCGUGGGGAGCAAACAGG